AGGAGAGUAACUACUGACCGCUUUCUAGAAUUCUUUAAUUCCGUUUUAAAGCUAAGAUACCUCCUCUAAGUCUGCUAUUCCUGAUUCUUAAUAGCACAGGAAACAGACUAGUUUGUGAUUACCCGACAUCGGAGAAUCGACAAAAGUCUCUUUUUCCUGGGAGAACUUGAAUCUUUCUAUCCUUACUUAUUCUUUGCAGCUACCGACACUGACUAAUCCUUGAAUCUAUCUAUCUCCGUAACAAUGCCGUUAAGCUUCCCUUUUAGAGAGAGGGCUUUUCCCUUUCGCUCUCGACUGAUAGAACCUUUUCGAAGAGACUUAUUCCUGCCCGCGUGCAGGAGACACGAUAAGGCCCUAUUUCCAGCCUUUUCUACCGGGAUAGAUAGGGCAAGAUACCAAUACAACCAAUAUCUCGCAAUAGGAGCCUUUCCGUAAUACUAAGAUUUAGAUUUCUUUCUGCAGCUUCUAGAGCGGACGUCGUGCCGUGCCCCCUUCUUUCUAGACUUUGUAUGAAGUGCU
rnacentral:misc_RNA from 1 species